UGUUCUGUUUUGUAAUUAUCUUUGGGUAACAGCACAUGAACAUCCAAAUGACUUUGCAGGGUUCCCCGGUAAACACGCGUGGAUCAAUUCACCAGAGGCAAAACCUGUAAAAACAUCCCCUUUUUUGCACACUUUGUGUACACAGUGGGGUCAAUGCCAAAUGCUGAGCAGUGCAGUAUCCUUUUGUACUCUCUCCCCUUGCAGGCAGAAUGGACGGCUCCAACCAACCUGUAUUCAUGUGUGUUUUAAAAGAACUUGACGUCGAUGCUUGCGUCAUAUUGCUUUUAUAUUGAUCCAACUUUUUUUCAGAGCAGAUAAACCAAAAGCCAGCUUAAGUGGCUGCAUUAGUUAUAAUAGAUGCAUUACUAUUUCAUAACUCCCCUUCUAGCUUCCUAAAUAAUGGCUUGAAAUGUCCUUGAGUGGUAUCUAAUGUCCCCGUGAGCCUCCCCAUAAGCAACUGUUUUCACAUGGCAAUAGCAGCUAUAGGAAAUGCAGCCGUAUUUGAUCAAGUUAAGGACCUUAGCGAGGUCUGUACACAAGCAACACUGGGAGUCUCUUUAUGGGAGAAGUUACAGCAGGGUUGAGGUUAUCCUAUUCAUGCACCCGCCCCUACCCCACCCCAGCAUGCAAACGCACCCUCUAAAGGGGGGGGCAAUUCUACUUUAUAGGCAGCAUAAACAAACAUGCAAAUAGAACUUCCCUCCCAAAACAUUGUUAGCUUAUCCUUAAUUGGUCUGUAGGCAGCUUCAGUGAAAAACAGGCAUAUGUGUUUUUAAAAAGAUGCAGGGUGGUGUCAGAAUGCUUUGGGGACGCACAUAUUGACACGUGACUUCCUGUCGGGAUAUGCUCUGGAUGCACCCGUGCCAAAUAUAGAUCUUUUUCAUCGAAACAGAUGCCAUUAGAAACUAAUUUCCCUGUCAUCAUUUUGGCUCAAGUAGGAAGUAAAGUGUGUUAAAAAGCCACUAAAAAGGACUUCUUUUGUAAAUGCCUUGUAAUACAGUGGAACCUCCAAGGGCGAACACAAGCCCAGUUUCAGAAUAAUUUUUCCCAUUGGAAAUCAUCGAAAUGCAGGCAAACCUCCCUUUCCGUUGCUAAAAUUUAUGCUAAAAUGUUGCCUCAGUUUUUGUACAGUAUUGCACUUAACAAACUAGUCCGUUUGCCCUGUCCUGUGUCAAAGCACCCUACAUGUCCCUGACUCAAGGCCCGUGCAUUUAUUAUUGAGCGUGACUGCGGCUGCAAAUAACCCGCCAUGGGGCCAAAGAAAGUUGCGAGUGCCAGCAAUUUGAUAAAGGUGAGAAACACGAUUGCAUUUGAUCUCGCCAUGAUGUACAGGAAGCCUGUAUCAACAAUAAGUUCCAUCCAUUUACCAUUUAUAAUAACUUUGCAAUUUUUUCUGCAUGUAAAACUCCUACUAUUCUCUAUAAAAUGUAUUUUUGUUCAUAUUUUUGGGUGUUUUUAAUGAAUUGGACUUACACAACAGUCAUCCCUCGCAACAACAUCACGCCCUCACUGUAUCACGGUUUUUCAAAACUGCAUUAAUAAAUGAUCACAAAACAUAUGCAUAUAUAAGCACAUUGUACGUGUUCAUGGGCUAAAUUAAGCAUUUUCAAUCAUUGAAAUGGCUAAUUGAACGAAAAUGCAAAUACAAUGCAUUUAGAAGAUGUACAGUAGUGUAAUAUUUGUGACGUUGUGUGCGCCUUUACGAGGCGGGGUCUGGGAAGUGACAUCAGCCAGCUGCUGUAGAGCUGCUGAGUGUUAGCAUGGUUAGCAGUGUAGAGAGUGUCAGUGGGUGGCAUGAGUUGUGGCUGACAGCAGCUCCUGUGUGAAUGUUCACUGCACCGUUGCAGUAGUAUAUGUAAUGUCUGAUUUAUGUCUAAGACAUCUUAUUUGCUGUUAUUAUGUCAACUAUUUUUGGUAAUACAAGUGUAAAAGUGCAUAGGAGUGUUAUUUCAUGUCUAGAGGGCUCUAAUAAUGCUAAAAAUACACAUUUAGAAGGUCUUAAACAGGUUUUAUAUGCUCUAACUACAAAAAUAUUCCAUUUAUAAAUAAGGAAUCCUAAUUAGCAGAAAUGUACUGAUCAAUUAACCGUGAUAAACGAGGGACGACUGUAUUUUCUGAGAUUUUUUUGCCUCGGUUUUCAUACGUUUUGGUUUUUAUCUGACCUUUUGGAACAAAUGAAUGACAAAAACCGAGUUACUGCUGAAGAAAUAAUUUGUUGCGAGGUCAAACCGUCACCAUCGAGUCCCAAGUUUUAAGUCGCAUUUUAACAGUCACACAAGCUCCUCCUUCUUUUGGGCAGCAGUGGCUCAGCAAGGCAAAGCAGGCCGCUCGUUUGAGUCCUCGCGGCCUCCACUCGCUGUCGUUGCGUCCCUGGGCGAGACAGUUCACCCACCGUGCUGCCCACACCGGUAUGAAUGUGAAUGGAUAUUUGGUGGUGGUCGGAGACGCCGUAGGCGGGAAUUGGCAGCCACGUUUCCGUCACACUACCUCGGGGCAGCUGGGGGUACAGAUGUACAUUAGCACCACCAGUGUGUGACUGAGGAGUGAAUGAAUAAUGUGUUCACGCCAUAAAAUCGAAUCCAUCCUUCUUAUUAUUAAUAACUGUCACAAAAAAGCAAAAAAACAAACAAUCGAUGUUAUGCGUAUCGGCGUUUCGAACAAAUUUUUGGUCAAACUCCAAAUUGCACGGUAUCGGGUGGGUGUUUAACUUUGGAGGUUCCACUUUUUAUCAAGCGGUAGUGUACGUUUGUUGUUAUGGCAACAAUAUAGUAGCGGGGCUAUGAGUUAUUGCUCUACGCAAGCAGAGACCACACAAACCUGUGCGCAUGCAUCAACAGAAAUACCCCACUUAUGUCUGGUGAUACUGUACAGUACAUACAAUGACUGAUAUUGCUCUUUUCCAAUGCCUUUUUGGUAAGUGUCAUAUUAUUAUCAUAAAAAAAACAGGUAAGAAAUGGUCUCAUUUCCAAUACACAUUUUGAAAGUUGUGCAAACCCCGUUAAAAGAGUGCAGGAGUUAGAAUUAGUAGUCAUUCAAGUUCAAGAGAAUAUGGCUCUUGUUUUUUUUGUUGUUGUUUUUUUUAAAUCCGGUGCAAAAAGUGUGCUGUGUACUGUAGUCAUCUUCAUUUGUUGGCAGUAGAUGGCACCAUUACGCUGUGUGAGCACUGUAUUUCAUUGGCUGCCUUAACCACAUGUUCAUACCAGUCAACAGGUUCUCAUGACGAUUUAGUAGGAAAUUGUACAAAAUGCUCAGCACUUUUUUUGCAUGUGCGCUACCAGGAAGACACGCUGUUCAAAUCUUGCAUUUUUCCUCAGAAAUGCUAUCAAAUGCCAUCAUUUCAUUGCGGUUUGUGUCAGGGGAUUAUUGUUUGCAAAAAAAUAAAUAAAGCGUCAUUACCCUUCAAAAUAUGUACAUUUUCUAUGAAAAUACACCAAGUUUGUGUAUAAUAUCCUUCUAAAUUGUCACAAGAACGUGCUCUGACAGAAGUGAUUCAGAAAUGCAAUUAUUAGCACCUUUCACGCUGCCCAUUGUCUGCCAGUUUUCCGCGUACAAGCCUCUUUCACACAGAAAUCCUGUCAAAUUGCCGCAUCCCGCAUUUAUUUGUCUGUGCAUUUCACACAGAACGCAGCUGUCACACAGAGAUUCUGCAAACUAGCCGCGACAGAGAUUACAGCAAUAAGCCGUCUUUGCCCUUUUACGCAUAACUCGGCUAAAGCCGGACUGUGAGCGCUUUGUGCAGUGACACACAAUCACGCUUUGAACGCGGUGAAUUGCUUCCAACACAACAAACCAAGAAGAAAUUAGCCCGGCGUUGUGGAAUAUGCUUUCACACAGGUGACGUUCCGCCUCUGUUACACUCUGAUACUACUUCCGAAGCUGGAAAAUGGGCGGGUUGACGUUGUCCUUCCAUUCCGCGGUGGUGCUGUUCGCACAGAACAGCGACACGGGGAAAUAAGCUGGGAAAAUCCAGCUUUUAAGGGCAGCGUGAAAGCGGCUACAGACAAGGAAUGGUGAAGCAAAGUCAUCCUGCCAAUUUUAAGGCGGUAGUAUCAGAGCUGCAACGGAGGCGGGAUGGUGUCUGUGUAAAAAGGGAAUGCUGGAACGCAGGUGGAAACUUUCACAUGGACACUCCCUCUUCCUGCCCUGUUGUGUUGACUGCAAUUGCUGCUGUGUAGAAGCGCACAACUUCCCUCCCUCGGUGAGUUCUGUGCAAAAGGCAGCUUAUUUUUGGUGAUCUGUGUGAAAGGGGCUAAUAAUAUAAGCUAUGCUGAUGUUUAAGUGACGUUUUACGGCUUCAGUGACAGGCUUUAGUUCAGGUUUAGUUCCCAGUGAAAGGCUGGUUUAACCAAUUUAGUGCCAUUGGGAAUUUUUUGCUGUUUUCCCGCGUUAGUUCCCUUUUUUUCCUGUCAGCAGUCGCAAAAGGUGCGAAGGGAGGCAGAUUUGGGGCAGAGUGUCAGUGGGGACCUGAGUACACUGGUAACUACAGCACAUAAUAAUGGCUCAGUCUCCUGCAGGGAGGUGCCGGCGCAUCUAGGGAGUCGUUAUGAGACGGGACUGUUGGGUAGGAAGGGAAAAUGUGUGCCAUCACUGUGCUAGCUUGUCACUGGUGGCUGCUCCGCACAUUCCUCCAAACUCUGCUCUGCAUCCCGAGACUUUUUCCUCCUCUUGUUACCUAGAAACAAGGGGAACACGUCGACAUUUAGCUCCAAAAAAAGGGAAUAUUACUCUCAUUCUUAUGCACGUUGAAGCGAAGUGGAAAUACCUCGAGUUGAACACCCUUGAUGUCAGAAUUUGAGAAAAAUAGUUGGGGGUGGGGGAAAAAAUGUAGCUUUAAACUGCCUGAUAUCACACAAGCCCUCCAUAAAAAUUCAAAGUUUUGCUGGUUUUGUGAUUAAAUUAGGCCUGUCAAAUGAUUACAAAUUUUAAUCUAAUUAAUCACAGUUGUCAAAGGAAUUAAUGAGGAUUAAUCAUGUGUGAAAUAUUCAAAUUUUUACUGUAUUUUAUUAAAAGAAAGGACAGGACGUGAUGAGGUGUGCGUUUGCGUGUGUUAGCGGCUCCAAAUGAAGUGAAACUUUAAAUCAAGCUAAAAGAUAGCACACAUGUCUGAAAAUAUAGCUGGCUAACACUAGUUGCUUUAAUAGUAGCACAUCAUGUGAUCACACUUGAACUGCGUCACUACGAACAAUGUGGGGUUGCGUUCAGGUACAGACGUAGGACUUGUGAGUCAUUUGCGUCCGAGCCCGCAGGCAGCGUCAGCAUCUGUGUCAGCAUGUGAGUGGGUGGCCACGAAGUAACCCAUCACCUGUUGCUAAGAUACAGCAUUCGCUGUGUGCCGCGUCUGACACAAAGAUUUAGGCGACACGCUGGGGUGUGUGUGGGAGCAAAGUGACGGCUGAUGACACACUCACUCAGUUUACGCAAAAGCUUCUUUCCUAUGUUUUCCUCCGAGCUGGAGAGCGAGCGAGAGCUGACGUAAGGAGAGGUGGACGUCUGAGAGUCUGUAGGCACGUCUGAAAAGUAGAAAAGAGCAAUUGCAUGUUUUUACAGCCUGGCUGUUAUUUUAUCGAAGGCAUGUGUUGACCUCAAUGUAAGACGAUCCCGCUUUUUCAAGCACAAAUGUUUUGAAAAAUAUUUGCGAUGACUGUAGAUUUAAAAAAAAAAAAAAAAAAAAAAAUUAGCAUCAUAACUCCUCUUCUGUUUGCUAUCUUGCUAACAACGCUAGGAACGUUUGUGUGCGAGUGACAGGAAGAAAAAUUCUGACUCACUUCGAAAGAAGUCGUCAGGCUCCACCUGCUGGUUUGCAUGUAUAAAUUGCUAUAAGACAACCUGUCCUUUUCAAGUCAAUAUACGAUGUUUUGGAAUUAUUAAUAUAUAAAAGCUGUUAAAAGUGAAUAAUGUAUAUAGUUAAUAUAAAUAAUAACAUAAAAAAACCUAACUUUAACUACCGGUAACUCAUAUUUUGCAGUAUUUUGUCGACUGGUUCAUUCUUAUGACAUGUUUAAAUUGUAUUUAUUCCUAACAAUAAAAUGUAACAGCUUAUUAUUUGAUGUCAUAAAGACUCAUAAGGUUCACUUGCUUAUGCUCUUAAGCGCUAUUCCAUUCCAACAAGAACAAUAGUAGUAAUGACAGUGGUAAUCAUAUAACUGUGAUUUAUUUAGCGCUGUUCAAAGGCCCCAAGCCUAUUUUAAUAUAUUUUUAUGUGUGUACUGCAUGUCGGGUACGUAAUAGUAUUGUUGUUAUUCAAGGUGGUGUGUGAGUUGUUUUUUUUUAAUGGAGUAUUAAUUAAAAUUAUUAAUAUAACAGUUUUAUUUAAUAAUAUAAAAUAGUUAUUCAAUUAGAUCAUGUACUAAUUUUAAAAAUGCAAAAAAAAGUUUUACAGAAAAUAUUUCCUCGCUAUUUUUAGGGUGCUUGUUUACCCGUUUCAACCGUAGGAUGUCAUCAAACUACUUUUUAAAAUAGAAAAACCCACUUGACCAACAAUGAUAAUAAUAUAAAAGCCUAUUAAAGUGCAAUAUUAACCAGGGCUCGGUGUCUUAGUCAAGUGAAUAAAUCUGACCAUUUUCUCCGUAAUUCUCCGGUCGAUCCUCUUGGAUGUAGGGAAUGUCGUCCAUGCGGAGGAAGACUGUGUCAUUGGGACUCCUCUGGCCGUCUGAUUUACUGCCUGUGGGGAGAACGGCAGCCGUCAGCACCAAAUCAAAAGUAUUUCUCAAGGUACGUGUAAUUGUAAUGGACACUGGAGGAAAGAGGAAUAACAUGGGAGUGAGUAAAAAAAGAAAAGCAAAACAAAUAUGUUUCCAACUACAAAUGAACUUUCUUCUGUUGCUUCUUCUGUCUGUAAGCUGUCGGACUGAGUAGUCCGGUAAGUAGAACCCUCCCGUUGAGAGCUGACCCACGCUGCCUCCACUCAGCAGCGAGUCUGAUUGGUUCAGACCGCUGCUGCGGGAACAAAACCUCUGACCUGCAGAAGAAAAGAGAAAAAAAAUAACUGCAUUUUCCGGGGGGAAAAAUGACCUCUGAAGUCAUGCAAAACUUGAACAUUUAAUGAUUGACUCCUCGAGUGCUUUGCUUUUUCUUUGGCUUUUGUUGUCUGACCUGAGAGGUUCCACUGCUCAGUUAAACCUUUAUUGGCUCGACCGAGUUUUUACACUAGCUGACUCCUGACCUACAGUAUAUGCUUUUAUACACCCCCAGUCUAAGGAUUAAGUGAUAUUAAAUUGAGUUUUUGGAAUUACUUGAAGCCUCCCACUAAAAUGCAAAAUAUGAACACCCUUGAAGACAGAAAAUGUCCGUAUGGGACACUGAGAACCUUUCCUGCUGGCUGUACACUCUUAGCUCACAUAAUCCCAGUCAGGUCGUGUUCUUCCACUAAAUCUCCUUUUUUUAAUUACUUUAUUCCCACAACUGCUGCUACUGUGUGCAGCGACUUGCUGGGAUUAAGACUUCCAGCACAGCGCACGUCAAUUAGUUCCCCCUCAUUAUCAUUUGCUCCCUGUUGCCGUCAUCAGCGUGGCCCGUAGCUCACAGUCAGCAUGUAUUGAUGUUUGUCACGGGUGUGCUUACCGAUUGGCAGGGGUGGGAUGAGUGCUGGCAUGCCAUAGUAGGAAAAUGCUCCAUUUUCAAAGCGGAGGGCCUCCUUUCCAAUUUCUACCUCCACUCGUCCCUGCAACAUCACACGAUGUCACGACCGCAUCGACUCGACAUUUCAUCGAACACACCGAAACAGGAAAUGUUCAGGCUGCACUGUUAAUGCGAUACUAGAUGAGCACUUUAUUGAAAUUACCAGGAUUUUGUGCAAAAACCAAUUCAUUUUUUUUAAAGGAUGUCCAAUUUUGUCCUGAAUGACAAAAAAUAUUAAUCCAUCCAUCGUCUAUGCCCCUUAUCAUGACUAGGGUGGCGGGUAUGCUGGAGCUGACCAGCUGACUUUGGGCGAGAGGCGGGGUACUUGUCGCCAGCCAAUCGCAGGGCACGUAAAGACAAACAACCAUUCAUACCUGUGGACAAUUUAGAGUUGCCAAUUGACCUAACAUGCAUGUUUUGGAAUGUGAGAGGAAACCAGAGUAUGUAGAGAAAACCCACACAGAGAUGUUCAACGGAGAUUCAAACCCACAUCUUUCCGAUCUCCUGACUGUGUGGCCAACAUGCUAACCACUGGGCCACUGUGCAGCCCGUUUUUCUACCACUUUAAAAAAAGUCAAUCUUUUCAAACUACUUCAGUCUGAAAUCUACAUAUGAAAUAGUCAUAUAUUUGGGGGAUUUUGAGCAGUGCGACUACCUGGCGACCAGUCCAGGGUGUACGCCAGCUGGGAUAAGCUCCAGCAUACUGCUGCAACCCGAGUGAGGACAACCGGCAUAGAAAAUGGAUGGAUGGAUAGCAUUUAAAGGACAGUAUAUUUACAUAACCCCAUAGUUUAAAAAAAAAUAUCAUUAUCAUAAAUAAUUUCCGUAAAAUACAUAUCAAAGACUAUUUGCUUAUUAUUAUGAUUAGGCUCCGAGAUGGGUCAUUGAUUGGCAGCAACAUUGAAUUUCAUGUGUCGUUAUCGUUCUGUGGCUUACAACAGUGGUGUGAGAAAGUGUUUGCCCCUUCCUGAUUUCUUAUUUUUUUGCAUGUUUGUCACACUUAAAUGUUUCAGAUCAUCAAACACAUUUAAAUAUCAGUGAAUGACAACACAACUUAACACAAAAUGCAGUUUUUAAAUGAAACUUUUUAUUAUUAGGGGAGAAAACAAAUCCAAACCUACAAAAGUGAUUGUCCCCUAAACGUAAUAACUGGUUGGGCCACAACUGCAAUCAAGCAUCCCAAAUGGCUUUGAAUGAUGUUCUGCUAAACUCGGUGUGACGUUGGUUUACCUGCAGGAUGAGGACGAAGUAGUCGACAGGUUUGUUCCUCUGGAAGAGGUAGUGUUGAGGAGCGUGUUUGUUCUUGGGGUUGAACUUGAGUUCUUGCACCACACUGGGAUGCUUGAUGAGACGGAGCAGGAUCUUCUCCGACAGGUGACACGGCCUGAAUGGCUCCACCUCUGACAGUUAGAGCGGGAAAAAGAAAUAGAGAGGGAAAAAAAACACAAUUUACACCGGAGGCCUCUAAACCAAUCAUUUUUAACUGGUGGGUUGUGGCCCAAAAGUGGGUCGCAGAGCCGUUUUCAGCGGGUCGCGUGUCUCAAAACAAAAAAAAAAGAAAAAGUAAAAAUCCGAUGUCUGUGAAUGCACCUUGCAUUCGCUUGCUAUGCCGCCAUGAGGCGCAUGCCUAUGCUGCCUUAUCGUUGCAAACAGUCCCUUGAAAUAUAAGAUAUUUGAGAAGUUUGAGCUGAAAAAUGUCUGCAAUUUUGCCUCCGCCUGUCACUGACUGAGGGAUGAUGGUGAGUCCCGCAGCUAAACCCGUUCAGAACCACUGCUCCAAACCUCCAAAAGUGGCACAAUUUGGAGUUCAACCCAAGUAUGUCCCAAAACUAAAUUUAGAGUUCAAACCAUCAUCAUGCAAGAUGUGAGCAUCUAAAGCAGGGGUGUCCAAACGUCGCAUACUGAAAAAUCAAAAGAUGCGGGGGGCCGUGAUGACUGAAACCAAUCCAAUGUAGACAUGCUAGCAUAUUAUCCAUAAUGCAUAAUGCAGUAUGCAUUAUGCAUCUCAAUUAAAUGAAAGACGUUCAGCUGUUAACUAAAACACUGACACUUGUAUGACUGCAACAGUUUGACACUGGAACAGAUGAAUUCACUUUUCAGUUAUUCCGUAUAUGGAAAUAAUUGUUUUAAUAUUCAACAUCAGAGGUCAAACACCAUCUGUUCCACCUUUGAAUUGUAAACUUUUAUGUCGCAUUUUCUCUAAUAAUAACAAUAACAAUAAGAAACUAUUAUAAAGUAAUAACAAUAAAUAUCAAUAUUAUUAAAUAACAAUAAUACAUAAACAAUAGUAAAAAUAUAUUGUAUAAUGAAGCAUUCUGUUUUUUUUAUAACUUUAAUGUUGUAUGAUUUUAGUGGCGUGUUUUGCAGGUGUACCUGUGGCCAAGAAACGAUGUGUUGCCAACAACAGCUGGGGCGAGAUCUUCACAUUCAGCUCAUUUUCUGCCACUUUGAAGAUGGAAAAGUCCUGCUGUUUUCUCUCGUGGUGCGACACUCGUCUUUUCGUCCGAUUGUCAGCUGGGCAACACAAGAGGGAAAGCCAGACUUGAUGAUCUCUUCGAUGACGUCCUCCAGGGUGACAAUGCCCAUCACCUCGUAGAAGGGGUCUCCCUCGCCCUCAUUGUUGACCCUUUGCACCACAGCCAGACACUGCACCGCCAUGAAGCAGCCCUUCACUCACCGGCCACGUUUGAUACACCUGCAUAAUCUAACGAGUGUGACAUUCCCUCAGCAGGGUGCCUGAGCGGCAGGAGCCUUCAAUUCAUCAAAAUGAGAAGGAGCUGAGAGACAGGAAAGGGAAAGGCAGAGAGGCCCAUGGGUGAGCUGACCAAAGCGAUCCAUCAUAAUCCUGCGGCGGGAUGAAGCAAUGGACCUCUUGACCUUGCACAUUCACUUCAAAGGCUCCUCACGCCAUAGGUGGUGGGAGUUUGAGGAUGGGAAGCAGAGCAUAUGGCACCUUAAAAGCCAGCACCGCCUUCAUCAUGGUCUACAGAACGGGAAAGGAUUCCCCUCAGUGUGGCAUUACCUCUCUUAAAUUCCUCCAGCAUCACAUCCAGCUUGGUGUCAUUGAAGACGCAGUGCAUGGGGUGCUUGUAGAACUCAGUGAUGGUCUUCAGAGGGGUGCAGUCGUCCGGGUCAACAAAGGUGAGGUCCUUCACAAACAGAAUGUCCACUAUGUUGGACCGCUCGUUCUCAUAGACUGGGAUCCUUGUGAAGCCACUCUGCAUCACAUCAGACAUGGUGGCAAAGUCCAACACAGCAUCUGACGAGAGCAUGUAGCAGUCGGAUAGAGGGGUGAGAACGUCCUCCACCGUCUUGGUCCUCAGCUCCAGAGCUCCUUGGAUGAUGUUGAGCUCUUCCUUGACCAGGUCGUGGUAUGGAUCUGUGACUCUCAGCAUAGCCACCAGCUUCUCCCGUGUGUAGAAGCUGCUGAUCUCCUGGUGGAGCAGGAUGUCCAGGAUCUUGGAGACAGGGUAGGCAAUGGGGAGGAAGAGGAGCAUCAGGAGCCUGGUGGCGCACAGGGUCUUGGAGGCGAUGGCGAGGCUGUGCCGGGACGCCACAGAAUGAGGCAAAAUCUCCCCUAUGAAGAAUAUCCCUAAAGUGCAUGAGGCUGUGGAGAGGACGGUCAUGCCUAAAAUCUGGCACAUCCAAACCACAAAGCAUGUGUUGGUGAGCACGUUACCCAGCACUACAGUGCACAGGAUGUAGUUGCCAUGCUUACGCACAGACUCUAUUUUACGUGCGUACUUCUGCUCCUUCUCUGUGCCGCUGUUCUGCAGGACCCGCAGCUCCACAGGGUCCAGGGCGAGCAUGCUGAUAUUGAGCCCGCUGCAGAGCGCGGAGAGCCCCAGGAGGAGCAGGGAGACUCCCGCUUGCAGCCACGCGUCCGCCUCUGCCGGUCUCUCCACCACAGCCAGCCAGAAGUCUCUGGUGCUGAAGUGUUCCCAUCUGAUGCCGUCAAAAGCGCACAUGGAGUAGUACUUCACCGCCUCUCCUCGGCGUAGAUGCUUGGCAAGAAGCUCCACCAGCACCGAGUUGUGACUGGAGGUGGAUUUGAAAGAGCCCAGUAGUUCAAUGUCAGAGCUCCGGGCGUUCUCCUCCUCGCAAGGGUUCGCUCUGGACCUCCCCCCGCUGUCCCCUUCUUGCUCCUCUAUGAAAGCGAUCCACGGAGCUGCUGGAGCUGAGUCAGCUGCACCGCUCCAGUUCAUGUUGGGACGCUCCGAGUAGUACACCCGUAAAAUGAAGCGAGUCCCCUCCGUGGCUCUCAGGACGCCAUCCUGCACGGACAGAUCCCCGCUUUGGGUGUCCUCCGGCCGGACACCGAGCAGAGCUGAAGUCGGUGCUGGCAGCCAGGAGAGGAGGAGGAGGAGGAGGAGAAGGAGGUGUAGGAGGUGAGGGAUGGCGGUCAGAUGCAGAUGAUGCAGGAUGCGGCAGCGAGCAUCCGCAGCAUCCACAGCCAUCAUGCUGAAUGAAGUAGUGGAGGGGAGUUGGGUCACGUGGUGUGCGGAUGGAGCAGCUGCAUGGGUGGUCGUACAGCCAUGGGGUGAGACUCACUGCAUACACUACCCUUGCUCAUCCAAUCAGCAGUUAGAACGCAGUCUAGAUGCAUUCAAGGACUUACGGUGAGUCGGAUAUUUCAGAUUCUUUUUGAAAAUGCACACGUCCCCUACUUCGGUGUUAAAAAAAAAAUCACCAUGCUCGGCGAAGGGCACCUAUAGACAAACAUUCACACUCACAUUCAUAUUUAUGGAUCUCCAGUUAAAACUUUGCAUGUUUUUCGAAUGUGGGAGGAAACCGGAGUACCCGGAGAAAACCCACGCACGCACGGGAGAGCAUGCAAGAAGGAGGCUCAAGUGCCGCAUGCCGUGCCGACCCCUGUUCUAAGUCAUUUUUAAUUAAGUCAUGCCAUCCCUUAGUAGCUGCUUUUGUCGUCACAGCUUCACAUUAAUGUAUGCAUUUCAGCAUGCAACAGUAAAAAAAUAAGAUCGCAUUUCUGAAAAAAUGUGACCCGUUCCGACAAAGCCAGUGUCAUUUUCUUAAAUCAGUGCCCUCAAAUGAGCAAAACAGCAUGGUUUUCCUUCUUGUUUCUGCAACUUCAUCAAAUUUUGUAGACCUGUGUAAUUAAUAUCAGUCAUUAAUUACAACUUCACUAACCAUUAAACUCUGCAGAGUAGCCCACAGUAAAAACUAGUUGGUGUCUGAAUGAAAACUAGCAUGACAGCAGGAGGAAAUGCUCUAUUGUAGCUAGCAAGUGUUAGAAACGAUGCUAACGUUAGGUUACAUAGCACCUAGGUGCAUGCCACUCACACACACGCAGUGCAAACAGCUGCUUAGCUAACGUUAUCACUAAAUAAUAUUACUGUGUUAACAAGCCAAUGUUACUAUUGGCUGGCAUGCAUAAACCAACACAACAAGACCUUACUAACAAGUGCCUUAAACUUGGUUCAUUUCAUCCUUCCAACGUUUAUCCAUUGACCACAAAAAUGACAUUACCUUUUCACCACAUCUGACCGGUUUUGGAAGGCCUCGUGAAAAAGAGCGGGCUCCGCUGUUGCAGCACUCGGAAGUAGCCACGUGUCUGUCGCGAACGAAUCGUCUCUAAGAGCCGGCUCUUUGAGAUGAACGUCAGGAUCCGCUCGCCAAUUUGGAGCCAAUUGGGAGCCGAUCAGUUUUUUCAUGGUCUUUUUUUUCUGUUAAAGGCGAAUGUCAUUGGUCAAGAUGUGUGGCGGCGUCUCCGUGCCCACGCUGAGCAGGCUGUGGUGCUCUUAGAGCCCAUUCAUGAGUAAUUUGCAUGAAGAGAUUUUACCUAUUUUGAUUUGUCGUCUAUUGAGAUGAGUCUUUGUUUUGGAUUUUAUUUAUAAUAUAACAUUAUAACAUAUUUUUGUAGCUGCACAUUGAGGUUUAAAUAAAUUCAAAUUACACUGAAAUGAUAAACCUUUGAUAUUGUGUAUUUUUUACAUCAGUAAUUAAUUUUACACAGUACACAUAAUUUGGUAAGGAAUUCAUUUAAGACAACAACAAAAAAAAUCUUAAGAGGCGUAAAAGUUGUCUCUUUUUAGUGAGCCUAGACAAAAGAACCCGCUUUCCAUCCCUACUGGAAGAUCUUCUUCUUUUUAGUCUUCUUUCUCACUUUAACGUCAUACCGCCACCUGCUGUACAAUUACGUGUUUGAAUUCUACCAUUGUAUGCUGUGAUAGUACAGCGGAUUUUGAUGACGUUACUUUACUGUGAAAUAACUGUGAAAUAAUUUGUUGUGAUCGUACAGGGGAUUUUGAUUACAAUAAUUUACUGCGAUAGUAAUGUUAAAUGCUGUGAAAUCCUGGUAAUAUUUUACAGUGCAGAUUUGUAUUUACUGUUGUAAUCGUUUCAGUUAAAAGUACUACAAAUAUUUUGCACUGUGCGUCAAUCCACAUUUUUAUUUAACAGGAGCAUCGGUUAGGCUCCAGUGUAUUCCAAUUGUACUAUUUUGAAAACAGAUUUUAGUGUAGGCCUGUAUUUAAACCAGAUGUUAAAUAUGACGCCGAAAUGACGAAUAGACGAGGCUUCUUUUUACAUUUUUGCGAUGGAAGAAUACAAAUGAAAGAUUUUGUUUCCCUUUGGUUGCAAUGAGGCGCUCGUGCGUAAAACCUACAAAAAAAAGUGCUGUGCUGCUCCAGCUAUGAAACCUUAGCGAAGCUCUAUGUUUUAUGUUGGAGUUUUUACAAAAAGAGGAUUUUAACUUGUGCUUCACUCACGUGUGUUAUGUUUGUCAUGCAGUUUGCUUGUGUGAGACAUCCGUGACCCCAAACAACCACUGACCGCCUGCGGUGCCCUUGGCUCUUGUGCGUACUGCUAAAAAGUUUAUGUGCACGUCGCUCUGCUCUGCACGGAGAACAAAAAGUCAGCGUGAGUUCACAUGCGCGCUGUUACUAAUAUUAAAAUGAAGAACUAGUAGGCCGACUAUUUAAUAUUGCUUCAGUCAUAACAAAAUGUAGUCAAGUGUGUAAGUGUUAAAUAAAACAUAAUAUAUUACACAUACACACAGUGCAUUUCUAUAUUUAUUUAUAAAAGUGUGUAGAAAAGUUACAGAUUGAAUUGAUUGAAUUGCCACUGUGUUAUACAAUUGCUAGCGAUUUAGAUGCUAAAAGCAUAUUGUGCAAAAAAAGUCAUUAAAUGAUUGUUUCAGGAAUGUUAUAAAGACGGUAAAUAAUAACCUAUUAAGACUGUAUUUUACAAUAUAUAUGAUGAAACCCGCUGAACAAGUUUGAAAGCAUAUUGUAAGUGUUGAACUAACAUGUCAGUUACAUUUGCCGCACUUGCAGAGCAUGCAGUGAAUUGAACAUUUAAUCCUAACACUAACUAUUAACUCUUAUCUAUAAAAAACACAAUUAUAGAAAUGACUACAAUUUAAACUUAAAAUAAUAACAGUUUCACGACAAUAGAUGCAAUAGAUAGUGACUUUUAUUUUACCCUCAAUAGUAUACAGUACAUGUAAACUUAAAUGUUGCCUUCAAGCUUUAAUAUAGUUGUAAUUGGCAUUAAGUGACAUUUAAUUUCAUUUAUUGGUACUGUAAUGAAUGAGCUAUUUAAAUGCUAACAUAAUGUAAUUCCUUUUACGGUAUACUGUGCAAAAAGCACAAUUAAGUUUAAUAUUUUAGCAAUGUUAUAACGACCAUAAAUAAUCAUGAGAAAACAAAACAAAGUGUAUUCAAGUUGCAUAUAUAGUGCUAUUUGUAGAACACGCAGACUAAUGUACCUCAUGGCUGCAGUAUUUCUAAGGCUGCGUAAGUGAACAGCUGUGUAAAAAUACACAGAAUUAAAGUAAAAAUGUACAAUAAAAAAACAACAAUUGCACAACUGUGUAAAGUUGCAGGAAUCUAACUUUCUUGAAUGAAAGCCAAUGCAUGUGUUUGCCAACAAAUGCGCGUAGUGAAAAAGUGGAUUUUAACAAGUAUAGGACAGUGGUGCACGGGGAGGGACGGUACUGUUCUCCGCCCUCUCUGCAGCCUGUUACAAGUGGGACGGCUGCCUCUGGGCAUGCGCACUAGUGAGCAGUUCCCAAAUGGGGGUGGGGGGUAGUGGGGUUUGGACGACCAGGCAAGACGACAGAAGAUCCAGAUCGUGGGGAAAAGGUGAUCAACCUCCACUGACGUUUGCAUUCCAAGCGCCAAGAUGCACAUUGUCUCAGAGAGAGGACUGUCACGCUCCUCCUGGUUCUCCUGGUCCUGGUUGGCAUCCUUGCUGGUGCUGCCAGUCACCUCUUCUUCCUACUCCCCUUCCUCUUUCUCAAAGUACCAGAGAGCUGCUGCAGCCAGUGGGAGUCGGUCGGGCUUCCUUGGAAGGACGCUGAUUCUCCUGGACGUCAACACCCGCAGCCCCGUCAGAGUCCUCAACGACAACUUCCUGUCUUUGCAGUUGGACCCGUCUAUCAUCAGAGAUGGCUGGCUGGACUUUCUCAGUUCAAAGCGUCUCGUGACCCUUGCGCGAGGCCUGUCUCCAGCCUACCUGCGCUUCGGCGGGAAGCGGACUGACUUCCUGCACUUUAACAACCAGAAGAACUUGGCUAAAUUCAGAGGGCCGGGACCCGACUACUACCUGAAGAACUACGAGGACGAUAUAGUGCGCAGUGACAUUGCGCUGGACAAGCAGAAUGGUUGCAAAGUGGCUAACCACCCUGAUAUCAUGCUGGAGCUCCAGAGAGAGAAGGCUGCCAGCACACAGCUAGUCCUGCUGAAAGAGCAAUUGUCCAACAUCUACAGCAACAUCACAAUAUCAGCCAGGUCUUUAGACAAAUUGUACAACUUUGCCGACUGUGCUGGUCUGCACCUGAUUCUGGGCCUCAACGCGCUGCAAAGAAACCCCGACAACUCCUGGAACACGUCCUCCACUCUGAGCCUCCUCAAAUACAGUGCUGGCAAGAAAUACAACAUCUCCUGGGAGUUGGGCAGCGAGCCUAAUGCGUACCGCAGCAUGGUGGGCCGCGCCGUCAAUAGCACCCAACUGGCUCAGGACUACGCCAAGCUACGGACCCUGCUCCAGUCGGUACGCUACUACAACCGAGCUCACCUUUAUGGCCCAAAUGCUGGAAGACCACGGAGGAACGCUAUCCUGCUUUUGGAUGGAUUCAUGAAGAAUGCCGGUUCUGUUGUUGAUGCUGUUACGUGGCAACAUUAUUUCCAGGAUGGCCGGGUGAAAAAAGUGGAGGAUUUCUUAAAGACACGUUUGUUGGAUACCCUGAGAGAACAGAUCACUAAAGUAGCCAAGGUUGUGAACACACAUACGCCCGGUAAGAAAGUGUGGCUGGGUGGACUCGGUCCAGCAUGGGCAGGAGGCAUCAGUAAUCUAUCGGACACAUACGCUAGUGCUUUCCUGUGGGCUAACACUCUGGGAAUGGCUGCUGUUCAGGGAAUUGACGUUGUUUUACGCCACUCGUUCUUUGAUCACGGAUACACGCAUCUUGUGGACCAGCAUUUUAACCCUUUACCGGAUUACUGGUUCUCUCUGGUCUUCAAGCAUUUGGUUGGGCCAAAGGUUUUAGCAGUGCGGGUUGCCGGACUGCAAAGGAAGCCCCAAUCAGGACGAGUCAUACGAGACAAACUGCGCAUUUAUGCCCACUGUACCAGCUACUCCAAUCACAACUAUCUGAGAGGCUCCAUAACGAUUUACAUCAUCAACCUGCAUCGAUCGCGGAAGAAAAUUAAGUUGGCGGGGACGUUGCGGAACAAGACAGUGCAUCAAUACCUGUUGCAGCCCUUCGGUAACGAUGGACUCAGAGCCAAACACGUGCAGCUGAAUGGCGAAAGGUUGUUCAUGCUGGACAAUGAGACAUUCCCGGACUUCAAGCCCAAAACCUUGCGGGCGGGACGGACUAUAGCCAUGCCUCCCAUGACCAUUGGCUUCUACGUCGUGAAAAACAUAAACGCCUACGCAUGCCGAAGAUAACAGAGACUCACCCUUUUUCAAAAAAAAAGAGACCUCAUUUGUUUGACUCUUCUCUGCAAGACGGAGGAAGGACACAGUGGACAGUUCCAAAAGUCUACACAAAUUCUGUAGGGGAAUUCAGAAUUGAUUCGAUUAAGCUCAACUUUCUCUUGACUGGCUCAUCAAGUCUUCCAAGCGAAUGUUAUCCUCUCGAUCACUUCCCACGUGAAAGGGGAAAAACUGAGAGCAAAUUCAGACCAGGCAACCUUGUUGACAUAUUCUCUCCUCAAAGAGAAACUAGCAUGAAGUUUACAUGUGGUUUACUGAUGAAGCUACUGAUGUGUAUGUCCAGUCUUUUAUGCACAGCGCUCAAUGGAUGUGUUUCUUCCCCCAAAACAUAUCAAGUGUCUUCCAGAGAAAAUGUGUUUUGUUUUUAGUGUGCGUCAAUGUUGCUUUGCGGCACACAGGACAGUAGAUUACCACAGACAAGGCAAGAUGAAGAUUUAACGUGCCCCGUCCAUUUAAAGUUAUAGACGCAGAAAAUUCUAAAAGCAAGUUUUAUUUUUUGUUUUUACCCUAUUGUCAUCACAGCCUUACAAUGUACAGUCCUCUGGUGCUGCUAGUUUGAUAUUUGAUAUAUUGUGCACAAAUUUACUGUCAUUACAAUCCCAAAUCAGUGAAAGUCGGGAAAGUGUGACACCACAACUUCUCAAUUCCUCCAGAACCAUAAUUUUAUUUUUCCGUUGUUGUUUUUUUUAAUGACAGAACUCUUGGUAUGUUUUCUAUUUAAUCAGACCUAACAUAAAACAUCUUGUGCGGCUUGUGUGCAAUAAAAACAAGUUCAAGUCAAUUACAUACUUUCCCAUAAUUUUCUGAUUUUGGUUUUGCUUGACCUAAUGUACAUAACAGAAAAUACAUGUGUUCAGCUAUAUUUUUACUUGCCUAUAGUACACAUUUAUUUAAAUAAUUGUUUUUGAUGUAUUUUGUUUUGUUUUUCUCCGAUUAACGUGGUAAGGAUGCAUGAUCAGUCCAUUUGGCUAUUUACCGUAUUGACCCAAAUAUAAGAAUCUUUUUCAAAACCAUUUUUUUAAAUAUCAAAAUUUAAAUGUCAAAAUAAGACAAAAAAAUGUAUAUUUAAAACAAAAAUUCUGCAUUAGUGAAAUACCACAUGUUGGAUUGCAAUAAAAAAAUGAUACAUAUAUUCAUAUUUCUUAGCUGCUUGGAAGUUGUUUCAUGUGUGGCUUGCUAACUCGUCCAACCCGCGUGGGUUUCUGUGUUCUGGCUGCAUAUCUCUCAGGCUCUGGUCUUUGUGAGUGACAGGAAGAAAAGCUCUGACUCGCUUGGGAAGUUGUUGGUGCCACCUGUUGGUUUGCAUGUAUAAAUUUCUAGACUGUGAAUAUUUUUCAGGCUUUUUUUUUUUUUCUAGGGAGAAAAACCUUUCUUCUAUUUUGGGUCAAUAUGGUACUUAAAUGAGUGUGGACAGAUCAUUAGGAAAAUUUGGAAACAUCAAAACUUUACCAAAUAACUAUUUAAAAUCUAACCUAAAUGUGACAUUGACAAUGACCGAGAACAGUAAGCCAAAUAUCAUUGAAUUAGGCAGAUAACUCAGUGCAUCCAUAUCACGUUGCUGAUGUGCUAUGAACUUAUAGAACUCUGUAUGUGUAAAAUAUGUGUAUGUGUAUUGUGGAGGUGUUCAUAUUUUUGGAAAGCAUUAUUUUAUUAUAUGAAGUGUGAUUGUUUUAUAUAUAUUUUUAGUAAAAAAAAAAAAAAAAAAAAAGAUAUAAAAAUGGGUGACAUAUGAGGGGUGACUGAGAGGAUUUAACUUGGUACAGUUUCUCUCUAGAUACCACCGACGGUGACGCGUCUUCCAAGGAAAGAUUCCACAGCCACAGCACUGGGUUUCCUGUCCAUUUUGAUGGCCUUCCACCAUUUCUGCCGCACUGAAACGUAGUUUAUCCUGGUAAUUGUGGUGCCCUUCACCAAGAAAUCCAUCAUCACUACACCGAGUGCCUCCCAAAGAGACCAGAAGAAGACAACGAGAAUAACCUUGACUUCCAAGGGUUGGACACAAGCCUUCCUUGGAGGUGGUGAGUGAUAAUGCUGCAUUGCAUUGACUGGUUUUAGUCUCUGCAUCAUAGGGAUGGAGCCAUGUUUCUUCUAGAAUGAUAAGUCUGUUGAUUUGUGUGCAAAUGGUCAUGAAAGAGCUUGACAACUGUGCACACUUUUAUGACAUCCAACACAAGAGCUAUAACAAAAGGUUAAGCCAUGUUGUCUUCUUUUUGGAGAUAUUAUGUCACCAUCUCCAACUGUCAAAGAAGCUUAUUCCUGAAACAAUCAAAAUAAGUGAGCACUUAAAUAAAAAACUAUCCAUUUCACCCGUCUUGGUACACACACACCUGCGCAUGCACGUACAAAUAGUAACAAAAUUGAGAAAGCAGAUGUUAGAGCUGCACAAAGCAGCUGCUAAUGAGGGAAACCUGGUCUAAAUGUGUCGACAUCGUGCAGACGUGACCUGGACGUGGUUAACACUUUGUACCGCCAAAGUCAGUGUUCACUACACCCAAUGAAGGCUGCACAUACAACAUGCAACAGUCAGACCACAACAGUAUGGCACACAAUUUUGAAAAGCCCACGAGAAAACAGAAUGUCCACAUGUAACGGGUCUGAA